rnacentral:rRNA from 1 species
CCGUAAUCCGGGUUGCGGACAGUGUCUGGUGGGUAGUUUGACUGGGGCGGUCUCCUCCUAAAGAGUAACGGAGGAGCACGAAGGUUGGCUAAUCCUGGUCGGACAUCAGGAGGUUAGUGCAAUGGCAUAAGCCAGCUUGACUGCGAGCGUGACGGCGCGAGCAGGUGCGAAAGCAGGUCAUAGUGAUCCGGUGGUUCUGAAUGGAAGGGCCAUCGCUCAACGGAUAAAAGGUACUCCGGGGAUAACAGGCUGAUACCGCCCAAGAGUUCAUAUCGACGGCGGUGUUUGGCACCUCGAUGUCGGCUCAUCACAUCCUGGGGCUGAAGUAGGUUCCAAGGGUAUGGCUGUUCGCCAUUUAAAGUGGUACGCGAGCUGGGUUUAGAACGUCGUGAGACAGUUCGGUCCCUAUCUGCCGUGGGCGCUGGAGAACUGAGGGGGGCUGCUCCUAGUACGAGAGGACCGGAGUGGACGCAUCACUGGUGUUCGGGUUGUCAUGCCAAUGGCACUGCCCGGUAGCUAAAUGCGGAAGAGAUAAGUGCUGAAAGCAUCUAAGCACGAAACUUGCCCCGAGAUGAGUUCUCCCUGAGACUUUAGGUCUCCUGAAGGAACGUUGAAGACGACGACGUUGAUAGGCCGGGUGUGUAAGCGCAGCGAUGCGUUGAGCUAACCGGUACUAAUGAACCGUGAGGCUUAACCUUACAACGCCGAAG